GCUGCUGGCGGCGCGGGCAGGGCUGGGCGGGCGAGUCCCGGUGCGGAGCCCGCUCUGCCGCCAUCACAGCCGCGCUGGGGGCAGCUCCAGCCUCAGCACCGUCACAUCGAGCCGCGGCGGCAGGAGAAGGGGCUGAGCCUGGCCCAGCUCAGCCUGCGCUGGAGCCGCCGCUCUGCCCUCUCCGCCCCUCCAUGCCCUGCCUCGGGCUCGGCUCCAGCAGCCCCGGGGCAUCUCCCGGCUGCCCGGGCCGCGCCUGGGAGGCUCCCCGCCAACUUUGCCAGGAAGCUGCAGUUGUCCAGGCCCCCACGUCCCUCCCCACAGUGCCACUUGCAAGGGGAGCCCGGGCCUCCUUCGCCAACCUUCUCCAAGCAGGUUGGGCAAGACCUGGAACAGCCGCGCCGCCAAGGAAAGCUUGAAGCCCUCAAACAUGGAGACUGGAAAGGACGGGGACUUGAGAACAGUGGAAUGGAGUUGAUCCUAGGACAACCCGUGCAGACACAGAAUGGCUCUCUGCCCCCUCUAGGGGCUGGAUCACGCAUAGAGGCUGGUAAGUCUGCAACAUGCAGUCAGUGGACUGGAAGGAGAGCAAGCUAGGGGAAGUAUGACUGUGGUCAAGCCCUGGGAUGGA
rnacentral:lncRNA from 1 species